GGCGACCGGCGCACGGGUGAGUAACACAGUAUCCAACCUGCCGAUAACUCCGGAAUAGCCUUUCGAAAGAAAGAUUAAUACCGGAUGGCAUACGAAUAUCGCAUGAUAUUUUUAUUAAAGAAUUUCGGUUAUCGAUGGGGAUGCGUUCCAUUAGUUUGUUGGCGGGGUAACGGCCCACCAAGACUACGAUGGAUAGGGGUUCUGAGAGGAAGGUCCCCCACAUUGGAACUGAGACACGGUCCAAACUCCUACGGGAGGCAGCAGUGAGGAAUAUUGGUCAAUGGGCGAGAGCCUGAACCAGCCAAGUAGCGUGAAGGAUGAAGGCUCUAUGGGUCGUAAACUUCUUUUAUAUGGGAAUAAAGUUUUCCACGUGUGGAAUUUUGUAUGUACCAUAUGAAUAAGGAUCGGCUAACU
rnacentral:rRNA from 1 species